rfam:Firmicutes bacterium CAG:424 genomic scaffold, scf101
AAAUAGAAAAAGGGGAGCUUGCGUAUCAAGCAGGCUGAGAGUAGGAUGCAUUCCUAGACCCGUAACCUGAUUUGGAUAAUGCCAACGUAGGGAUAUAGCUUGAAGUUUAU